GCCUGGGUGGCUCAGUCAGUUAAGCAUCUGACUUCGGCUCAGGUCAUGAUCUCGUGGUCCGUGAGUUCGAGCCCCACGUCGGGCU
rnacentral:tRNA from 1 species